rnacentral:rRNA from 1 species
UAUUGCACAAUGGGCGCAAGCCUGAUGCAGCGACGCCGCGUGAGGGAUGACGGCCUUCGGGUUGUAAACCUCUGUUAGCAGGGAAGAAGAGAGAUUGACGGUACCUGCAGAGAAAGCGCCGGCUAACUACGUGCCAGCAGCCGCGGUAAUACGUAGGGCGCGAGCGUUGUCCGGAAUUAUUGGGCGUAAAGAGCUUGUAGGCGGUUUGUCGCGUCUGCUGUGAAAGGCCGGGGCUUAACUCCGUGUAUUGCAGUGGGUACGGGCAGACUAGAGUGCAGUAGGGGAGACUGGAAUUCCUGGUGUAGCGGUGGAAUGCGCAGAUAUCAGGAGGAACACCGAUGGCGAAGGCAGGUCUCUGGGCUGUAACUGACGCUGAGAAGCGAAAGCAUGGGGAGCGAGCAGG